UGGGGAAAGUCACCUGAGCAGUGAGCCUUGUGAUGGAGAAUCAAAAAAAUAAAAAAGCAAGAUUGAAUGAUAAAGGAAGUGGAAGUAGCAGUAGCCGACCCUUUCAAGACAUAUGGACCGAGAUGUACGGGAUUGUC